rnacentral:rRNA from 1 species
AUGAACAGACAAGCAUUCCGUAAGAUUAGCACUACUACUGUAAUCUUCACUAGCAGCAGAUGGAUGCGUCAAGGUUUUAGAAUUUCAAUAGAUAUAAAUUCUAAAAAGAAGAUAUUCCCUCCAUUCAGAAUUUAUAUCUGCAUAUUUUUUUUCAGAAUACAGAACUGGCACAUAAAAAAAUUACGUACAAACAUAAUUAUGCGGUUAUGCCAGACCCUUAUAAAUCUCUAUUGUGUUCUGUACAAAAGUUGGGUAUUUGUAUCAAAUGUUCAAUUUUCCGACUCUUUUAUGCUUUCAAAGGAAGACAAUAACACCGCUUUCAAUUAA